rnacentral:rRNA from 1 species
AGCGAACGCUGGCGGCAGGCCUAACACAUGCAAGUCGAACGAACUCUUCGGAGUUAGUGGCGGACGGGUGAGUAACACGUGGGAACGUGCCUUUUGGUUCGGAAUAACUCAGGGAAACUUGUGCUAAUACCGAAUGUGCCCUUCGGGGGAAAGAUUUAUCGCCAUUAGAGCGGCCCGCGUCUGAUUAGCUAGUUGGUGAGGUAACGGCUCACCAAGGCGACGAUCAGUAGCUGGUCUGAGAGGAUGUCCAGCCACACUGGGACUGAGACACGGCCCAGACUCCUACGGGAGGCAGCAGUGGGGAAUCUUGCGCAAUGGGCGAAAGCCUGACGCAGCCAUGCCGCGUGAAUGAUGAAGGUCUUAGGAUUGUAAAAUUCUUUCACCGGGGACGAUAAUGACGGUACCCGGAGAAGAAGCCCCGGCUAACUUCGUG